ACAGAAAUGUUGGGCUCAAUUGUGAUUGUAAGUCGAGGACUACCUGAAUUCCUUCCUUCCAGAAGAAGGUAAGUAAGUAACUAUUCCUUCUUUCCAAAAAACACAAAUCCCUCAGAAGAAUAUUUCUGAUGUUUGUGUUCAUGGAGAUUAGUGCAGGGUGUGGCAAAGAGCUGAACAGCUCUCCUUUUAUGAUUAGUUGUGAUGUGCUCAACUUUGGUUGGGUGCCAAUACCAUCUAAUUAUGAACUACAUUGUAGUUUUAGUGCCAAACUCCAUAUUUUGUUUAUAUUUCUCUGAUCAGCAAGUCUGUCCCACUUGAAGAAUCUAGCCUAUUAACCCCAUUUUUCAAAUUAUUUCAUUCCCUACUCUUUUUUUAUGAACAGCCUUAACUGAAAUAAUAAAAGUACAGAGUAAAAAUGGAAUAGAAAACUCAAGAAAGCAAAAAAGAAGAAAAAAUAGAAAGAGGAAAAAAGAGGAAAAAAAAACCUACGAAAGCAACCUCCCACCCUUAUCACAACAAGUGUAAACAAUGUUCCUAUUUCUUCACCUCCUCUUAGCUUACAAUUAACAGUUAUCCAGCUUAGUCUGGAUAGCCUCUUUAGAGUCAAAUGAGAAGGGAGCAUUAAACUGUUGCUUGCAUGUGAUACCUCUAGGAAUGAUAAGAAGAAGUGGAGAAGAGGGGCAGAACUUUUUAUGAAAAACUUCAAAAUUACAACCUCCAGAAGUGCACUCCGGGGGAAGAUGGUAAAAAAAAUAAAAGAAAAGAAGAAAUAUCACAUAGAACAUGUUAAACUAGAAUCAGCAAGCAGUUUGGACAAGUGAUUGUAUUUUACGUCAUGGAAAAAUGUAGUGGGAAUUGGACAUUGGAAGGGGUGAGGGUUGCUAUAAAAAUUGAAACUGGCAAAGAAGUUCCCAUGCUAGGAAGAACCAUUAUGUAAUGCUGUCUCUACUUCGUAGUAGGCAAUCAACUGUUGCGUUUAGGACUUUAGUUUUAUUUCCAAUAAAGAUUCUAAUCUGGUUGGUCAUGUCUGAAUUUUCUGCCAAGUCAAGCCCAGAUGGAUUAAGUGUCUGGAGCUCUAGUGUGAAGCCCAAUUAUGGCCUAGGCAAAGUGGUUCCCAGAGUAGCCCCAAUCCAUACUAAAACACUCAUUUACAGAAUAUAACUAGAGAAAUUGCACAUACGUCAGAAUUAGAUUUGUUUUUCUAACUAAUUCUAACUAAUUCCUAUUUUUAAAAACAGGAAUAAUCAUAUCUUUGGGAACCUGUUUCUGGGCAAAAUUUGGCAAGUUGAUCAUACAAUGAGGAUGUUCCUGAAAGUCAUCUAACUGGGCACCACAUUCUCUGCGGUGAUGUCAUAGCUUUGGAAUGCUUUGUAGAGAAGACUUCCCAGGGAAGCAGGCUAUUUGAAGGACCAUCUUUUCCCAGUUACAUCUACCAACCCACCAAAGCAGGGAGACAGGUGGGUUAUGGGUCCCCUCCCACUUCUCCAUAGUGGCUCCUAGCCUGUGGAAUAUCAUCCCUGCAGAAAUAAGAUUGGCCUCCCACUUUGAUGUUCUUUCAAAAAGCCGUGCCAGCAGGCCUAGGGACCCCAGGGUGACAGGGAGCCCAUCAAGUGGUUUGGUUUGAUUGAUGUCACCAGGGAGGGGGGGGUGUUACAGGGAUUUAUGUUUGGAGUUGUAUUUCUGUAAAUUGCCCUGGAAUCAACAUGAUUGAGGUGGAAGGCCAUAUGCAUUUAUUUAAGAAAUAAAUAAAAUAAAAAUUAUUUAUAUGCCACAUUCCACGUGGACUCAUGGAGCACACGUUAAAAACCACUUGUAAAUAUUUUAAAAUGUGAACUCACUUUGAAUGCUGAGUGACUUAAUUUCAAGCUGGCUCAUUAUCUUUAGUUUUUAAUAUUCCCAGCUGUGGCACAGUGCCCUGAAACCCUGGGAGAUAUAAAGAUAAUUCAAAUAAAAUCCUCCGAUGGAAGGAUUUAAUACAUAGUGCCCUAGUUCUGAUCCCUGUUUUUCUUAUCCUUUUCUCUCUCCCUGCUUUACACUGGUGUUGAAGAGUACAGCACAUGCCUCUGAUUAUAUGAGCAGACCACACCCUGCCUGCUCCCGUGGGGGUUGUGAUGGCAGAAUAUUUGGGGGAAUCCAGCUGUUUGUUCUUCUUUGAUGCCAUUUGUUCCUGGAAAUUAGAGCAAGAUUUCUUUUGCCUUCUAAAUUAGUCCCAUUUUAUAGCACUCCUUAACUACUUCCUGAGGAAAUUUCAGCAGGCAUCUUGGCAGGCAUUGAUUCCAGGCAGAACCUCAUCUCAUCUCAUCAGGAAGCUUAAAAGGUAAGGAUGCAUUGUAAUUAUUUCUCUAGUGAGUUGGCAAGCUGUGAGAGGCACACCACCAUCUAAAGUGCACGCUGAAGUUGUAAUAACAGCUAAUGCUCUAAUUGAUGCAGUUACGGGUUUUAAAACAAUUUUCAUUGUAAUUAGGAGUCUGGGGCCCAAAGAUGUUUCUGUAGCAUUUGGGAAACAUAUGAUCAAGGGGAGCAGCCAUUAAAUGCCCUGUUCACCCCAACUGCUCUCAGCAAUGGAAUUAGGCAAUUAAAUGUUUAAGCUGAAUUCCACUAAGCUUAGGUUUAUGAAGCGUGGCAUAUGCUAGCAGAAUUUUAGUCUAGAAAGAAAAUGUUUAGAUAAUACAUUUUACUUUUUUUAUUAAAACAUAAAAGCAAAGCAAUGUAUAUUGUGACUAUCAAUAAGAAGGGAAGGGGAGACUUACAAUGUACUUUUCCACUUUAUCUCCUUUUUAUAGUUCCAGGUUUGGUUUUCUCCAAAAUGCUCUGGGUUUUUUUUCCCUAAUACACCCACUUUUUUCCCCACCAAUUCAACAUUUUUUAAACUGAUGUUGCUCAAACAUUAUGGAACUUUUUGGAAAAGGAUGGAUUAACAGUACAUUUUCUGCAGUGCUGCAGUGCUGCUCUCUCAUCUCAAUGGCUCAUUUCAACUCCAAUUCUCUUGAUGUUCACUGAUAUUAUAUUAAUGUGGAUAAGUAAAGUAUUCUCUUUCAAAUAAUAGAGAAAAUUAAGAGUGCAAUAUAGUUUUAUGUGUAAAGUGAAUUAAUAUCACCAUCAACUUUAAGAAAAAUGAAUUGUUUAAGUUAUGUUAACUUUCUUUUCCUCCUGUCUUUAUUUAAGUUUUGUGUGAAAAGGUGUUUUUUUAGAAUUUCAUGAUUUGUUCCCUUACUAGUAAUGUGAUCUUUUUUUAAAAAAAGUUAUACUUUGGAGGUCUUGAUUCAGUAAUAUUUCUGAUUAAGCUUUCUUAAACUAAAACAUAAGCAAAUAAAUAUUUUCAAAAAAAUGCCUUCAAAUGUUUACAGUAGUAUUGAUUUAUCACUAGCAAUUUGGUGGUAAAAUUGUUUACAUUGUAUUGGAAUUCAAAGUAAGUUUCCAAUGUUUGAACCAGUAGUGCCCAUCUUCUGCAAUUCAUCCAUAGCAACCACACUGUGAUGAGCAGGAAACCUUUUCAAACAGUAUUUGACAUUGCUGGAUGACUACUGUUUCCAUUUUAAUUUCCACAAAUGCAGAGCCUGAUAACAUUUUCAAGGAUUGAAUUUCAGACAAACUAACACAUACCUUGUUUCCCGCCAAAUAAGACCCACCCAGAAAAUAAGCCCUACUAGCCUGAUUUUUCUUUUAGCGUGCUCCUAACAUAAGCCCUACCCCAAAAAUAAACCCAGGAGGGGUGGGCGUGGCCAGCACAAGAGGCAGCGAGCAUGCAGGGACUGAUGGUGUCUGUCAGUCGCUGCAGCCCAUGCAGCACAGGUAAGAUGGAGCCCGGAGGCAGAGACGGGAAGGUAGGUAAUCUGGAUGCGCUGUGCGGCCGCGUGGCUUGCAGGGGGCUUGUACGGUGGCACUGGCAGCAGGCAGAGGCAUGGGGAGGAGAUCCAGAUACCUGGCUUCCCCCCAUGCCUCUGCCUUUGCUCACUGCCAGUGCUACUGUGCAGGCCCCCUAUGAGCCUCCCACAAGCCAAGUGACUGCGCAGUGCAUCUGGAUCACCUGCCUCCCUCCCAUGCCUCCGUGCCCACCUGUUGCUGCCACGUGAGCCUCCCGCAAGCCAAGUGGCCAUACAGUGUGUUCAGAUUACCUGCCUACCCCAGCCUCUGUCUCCAUGCUCAGACUUACCUGUGCUGCACUAAGGGGUCCGCAGGCUGUGGCUGCUGCCGGCCACCAUCAGCCCCUGCACGCUCGCCGCCUCUUGUGUCAUCCUGAUACCAUGUUUCCCCAAAAAUAAGUCCUUAUACGUCUCUUGGAGCCAAACAAAUUAUAAGACCAGGUCUUAUUUUCAGGAAAACAUGGUAGCAGGCAACCAAGUAUUGCUUUUGAACUUCUUCCAAAACAUUCCUUUCCCCAGAAGAACUGCAGUGAAGAUGAGGUGGCAGGCCAGGUGGUGGUUGAUGGAGUGGUGUAAGAGAAUAUGAGGGUAACACCUGGUAGGGACCGCUUAAUCAGAACCAAUCUGGAAUUGUAAUAUAGGCUAUGUCAGACUUAAAUUGGAAGCACCAACGUGGAAUGUCCACAUGCCUGAUUCCAGCUUUGUCCAAUCUCAGAGCUUCGGUUUGGAAGUUGCAAUGGAAGAAUGCCACUCACUUUUCACUUAUCUGUUUGCAACAUGAUGGGUUUCAGGUUUCAGUUUGAGCAUAUAAUGGGCAUUAGCAUGUUAAAGUUUGCAUGUUCAUUUUUCAGCAUUCACAAAACCCAUCAACUUGCCAAGAUCAAACACAUUAUAAAAAGUAAUAUGAGAUCUUGUUUAAAUAUGAGAGCUAGAUGUAGACCCGGUCAACUUUAUUACUGCCAUAGGCCACUGGCUAGAUAUAAGCGGAAAGACAUCUCCCUGCAUUUAAUCAUUAGCAGGAAUAUCAAUUAUUUAUCUUUUGGAAACAUUUGGAAAAAUGCACCAAAGAAGAAGCUUGCAAAUAGGAUUGGAAGCUGCAGUGUCAACAGAAGCACCAAUCCAACAAUAUUUAUGAAUAUAUUGCUUUUUGUCCUAACAAUAUUUUUCAAACAAGUGUCCUGAUAAAUAAGGCUUUGGAAACAGAGGAGAACAAUGAGUAUCUUAAUUUGCUGUCCCUUGGUCCCUGAGAAGAAAAACUUAGGAUGUGAUGCAAGCUAGAUGGCAUUUUAGUAUUUUCUCCCUAUUUGCAGAAACUCCCUGUCAUCUUGUACUCGGUGUCAGUUAUGAUACCAAAUGGGAAAUGUGCAUGGUGUUCUCCUUGGAAUACAAGAGAUUGCUGUAGACUGCCACAUAGUUCUCCUUUGCAUUUUGUUUUGUUUUGUUUUUUUGUUUCACUUUCCUUAUCUCAGGAGAGUGACAACUGUUGCUCAUUAAAAAGGAAAAAAAAGUAGGUAGGGGCUGGUGAUUACCAGCAGAAGACUAUUUAUACCCUCUUGAACAAUAGCUGACCUUGGCCGCUUCCAAUGCUUGGACAGCCUCGCAUUCUCACUGCCUCGAAGUAUCGUGUUCCCACCCAAAAGCCUGGGGCUGGCUUUCCCACUUGUAGUUGCCAAGAUGCUGCCUGUGGGUGGAGGCACAAGAAGAAAGCGUAAACCAUACAAGGAGGUUACGGCAAGGAGCUCAUGUUUUCUGUAGUGAGUCCAGGAAACAUUUUAUUUGCCUUCUCCCUGGAGUGAAAAAAAUAUUGACCACUGCUCUUUUUCAGAUGCUUAAUUGUUAGUGUUGGACUCUUUGUUGCUAUUUAAAGUAAUAAAUGCAUGGUUUCUACUUUUGACCUAGUCUGUUUUCUGUUUAUGCAUUUCGUUUUGCUACUUUAAGUUUAAAGCUACUACCACCACAUGUGCAACAAAUAAUAAAGGUAUUAGCAUUGCUUUCUGCUCUCUCUCUCCCUCCCACCCUUAUAUGCUCAUGCACACACCCACACUGAUCCAUACACACUUUAGCUCUCAAAAAAGCAGAAGAAAAAUUAUGCAAAAGUUGUUUGUUGCAGCUUCUAGUUACAUUACACUUGUUUAUUUGUUACACACAUCACAUACAGAUGUGUACAUAUUUCUACAUAUAUUCUUAAAUGCAUAAGGAACGCAUGUGGUUGCAAUAGAACUGUUGGUUUGGGGAGGCUAAUGUCUGUGUCUUUUAAUGCCCUGAUGAAGUUGUGUUGUUGGUUAAAAAUCUGAAUGAUUUGCAGUUAGGAAAGAAGCAUGUUGAAAUGAUUUGGUCUUUUAGAGCGAAUGGAAAGAAUUGAAUCAGGAAACAAAACAUUACAUGAAGGAAAAGUAAAUGGGAUCCAGAGGAAGGGAAAAGCUGAAAAACAAAUUGUGAUUGGAAGGGCUAGAUGAAAUCAUAAAAAA